GACGAACGCUGGCGGCGUGCUUAACACAUGCAAGUCGAACGGUAAGGCCCUUCGGGGUACACGAGUGGCGAACGGGUGAGUAACACGUGGGUGAUCUGCCCUGCACUUCGGGAUAAGCCUGGGAAACUGGGUCUAAUACCGGAUAGGACCACUGCCUGCAUGGGUGGUGGUGGAAAGCUUUUGCGGUGUGGGAUGGGCCCGCGGCCUAUCAGCUUGUUGGUGGGGUGAUGGCCUACAAAGGCGACGACGGGUAGCCGGCCUGAGAGGGUGACCGGCCACACUGGGACUGAGAUACGGCCCAGACUCCUACGGGAGGCAGCAGUGGGGAAUAUUGCACAAUGGGCGCAAGCCUGAUGCAGCGACGCCGCGUGAGGGAUGACGGCCUUCGGGUUGUAAACCUCUUUCAGCACCGACGAAGCGCAAGUGACGGUAGGCGCAGAAGAAGGACCGGCCAACUACGUGCCAGCAGCCGCCGUAA
rnacentral:rRNA from 1 species